GGCUUCGUAGUUCAACGGAUAGAACAUUGGUUUCCUAAACCGAGGAUAGAAGUUCGAUUCUUCUCGAAGCCA
rnacentral:tRNA from 1 species